rnacentral:rRNA from 1 species
GACGAACGCUGGCGGCGUGCUUAACACAUGCAAGUCGAACGGAAAGGCCCUGCUUUUGUGGGGUGCUCGAGUGGCGAACGGGUGAGUAACACGUGAGUAACCUGCCCUUGACUUUGGGAUAACUUCAGGAAACUGGGACUAAUACCGGAUAGGAGCUCCUGCUGCAUGGUGGGGGUUGGAAAGUUUCGGCGGUUGGGGAUGGACUCGCGGCUUAUCAGCUUGUUGGUGGGGUAGUGGCUUACCAAGGCUUUGACGGGUAGCCGGCCUGAGAGGGUGACCGGCCACAUUGGGACUGAGAUACGGCCCAGACUCCUACGGGAGGCAGCAGUGGGGAAUAUUGCACAAUGGGCGGAAGCCUGAUGCAGCAACGCCGCGUGCGGGAUGACGGCCUUCGGGUUGUAAACCGCUUUCGCCUGUGACGAAGCGUGAGUGACGGUAAUGGGUAAAGAAGCACCGGCUAACUACGUGCCAGCAGCCGCGGUGAUACGUAGGGUGCGAGCGUUGUCCGGAUUUAUUGGGCGUAAAGGGCUCGUAGGUGGUUGAUCGCGUCGGAAGUGUAAUCUUGGGGCUUAACCCUGAGCGUGCUUUCGAUACGGGUUGACUUGAGGAAGGUAGGGGAGAAUGGAAUUCCUGGUGGAGCGGUGGAAUGCGCAGAUAUCAGGAGGAACACCAGUGGCGAAGGCGGUUCUCUGGGCCUUUCCUGACGCUGAGGAGCGAAAGCGUGGGGAGCGAACAGGCUUAGAUACCCUGGUAGUCCACGCUGUAAACGGUGGGUACUAGGUGUGGGGUCCAUUCCACGGGUUCCGUGCCGUAGCUAACGCUUUAAGUACCCCGCCUGGGGAGUACGGCCGCAAGGCUAAAACUCAAAGGAAUUGACGGGGCCCCGCACAAGCGGCGGAGCAUGCGGAUUAAUUCGAUGCAACGCGUAGAACCUUACCUGGGUUUGACAUGGAUCGGGAGCGCUCAGAGAUGGGUGUGCCUCUUUUGGGGUCGGUUCACAGGUGGUGCAUGGCUGUCGUCAGCUCGUGUCGUGAGAUGUUGGGUUAAGUCCCGCAACGAGCGCAACCCUUGUUCACUGUUGCCAGCACGUUAUGGUGGGGACUCAGUGGAGACCGCCGGGGUCAACUCGGAGGAAGGUGGGGAUGACGUCAAGUCAUCAUGCCCCUUAUGUCCAGGGCUUCACGCAUGCUACAAUGGCUGGUACAGAGAGUGGCGAGCCUGUGAGGGUGAGCGAAUCUCGGAAAGCCGGUCUCAGUUCGGAUUGGGGUCUGCAACUCGACCUCAUGAAGUCGGAGUCGCUAGUAAUCGCAGAUCAGCAACGCUGCGGUGAAUACGUUCCCGGGGCU